GUUGUAUGGUUAAGUGACUAAGCGUACACGGUGGAUGCCUUGGCAGUCAGAGGCGAUGAAAGACGUAGUAACUUGCGAUAAGCCCAGAUUAGGUAGUAACAACCAUUUGAGUCUGGGAUUUCUGAAUGGGGAAACCCACGUGCAUAAGCACGUAUCCUUACCUGAAUACAUAGGGUAAGGAGGCGAACCGGGGGAACUGAAACAUCUAAGUACCCCGAGGAAAAGAAAUCAACCGAGAUUCCGAAAGUAGCGGCGAGCGAAAUUGGACUAGCCCUUAAGCUUUACACGCGUUAGACGAACGGUCUGGAAAGUCCGACGAUACAGGGUGAUAGUCCCGUAGUUGACGACGUGUGUUCAGUGAAAUCGAGUAGGGCGGGACACGUGAUAUCCUGUCUGAAUAUGGGGGGACCAUCCUCCAAGGCUAAAUACUACUGACUGACCGAUAGUGAACCAGUACCGUGAGGGAAAGGCGAAAAGAACCCCUGUGAGGGGAGUGAAAUAGAACCUGAAACCGUGUACGUACAAGCAGUAGGAGCAGGCUUUGUCCUGUGACUGCGUACCUUUUGUAUAAUGGGUCAGCGACUUAUAUUCAGUGGCAAGGUUAACCAUCUAGGGGAGCCGUAGGGAAACCGAGUCUUAACUGGGCGUUCAGUCUCUGGAUAUAGACCCGAAACCAGGUGAUCUAGCCAUGAGCAGGUUGAAGGUUGAGUAACAUCAACUGGAGGACCGAACCGACUAAUGUUGAAAAAUUAGCGGAUGACUUGUGGCUAGGGGUGAAAGGCCAAUCAAACCUGGAGAUAGCUGGUUCUCCCCGAAAGCUAUUUAGGUAGCGCCUCGGACGAAUACUACUGGGGGUAGAGCACUGUUAAGGCUAGGGGGUCAUCCCGACUUACCAACCCUUUGCAAACUCCGAAUACCAGUAAGUACUAUCCGGGAGACACACGGCGGGUGCUAACGUCCGUCGUGGAGAGGGAAACAACCCAGACCGCCAGCUAAGGUCCCAAAUUACUACUAAGUGGGAAACGAUGUGGGAAGGCUCAGACAGCCAGGAUGUUGGCUUAGAAGCAGCCAUCAUUUAAAGAAAGCGUAAUAGCUCACUGGUCGAGUCGGCCUGCGCGGAAGAUGUAACGGGGCUAAGUAGUAAACCGAAGCUGCGGCAAUGUGCUUUUGCACAUUGGGUAGGGGAGCGUUCUGUAAGCGGUUGAAGGUGUGUGGUAACGCAUGCUGGACGUAUCAGAAGUGCGAAUGCUGACAUGAGUAACGAUAAAGGGGGUGAAAAACCUCCUCGCCGGAAGACCAAGGGUUCCUGUCCAACGUUAAUCGGGGCAGGGUAAGUCGACCCCUAAGGCGAGGCCGAAAGGCGUAGUCGAUGGGAAACGGGUUAAUAUUCCCGUACUUCUUACAAUUGCGAUGGGGGGACGGAGAAGGCUAGGUGGGCCUGGCGACGGUUGUCCAGGUUCAAGUGCGUAGGCUUAAGAGUUAGGUAAAUCCGGCUCUUUUUAAGGCUGAGACACGACGUCGAGCAUCUACGGAUGUGAAGUCAUUGAUGCCAUGCUUCCAGGAAAAGCCUCUAAGCUUCAGAUUGUAAGGAAUCGUACCCCAAACCGACACAGGUGGUCGGGUAGAGAAUACCAAGGCGCUUGAGAGAACUCGGGUGAAGGAACUAGGCAAAAUGGUACCGUAACUUCGGGAGAAGGUACGCUCUCGACGGUGAAGUCCCUCGCGGAUGGAGCUAUUGAGAGUCGCAGAUACCAGGUGGCUGCAACUGUUUAUAAAAAACACAGCACUGUGCAAAAUCGUAAGAUGACGUAUACGGUGUGACGCCUGCCCGGUGCCGGAAGGUUAAUUGAUGGGGUUAGACUUCGGUCGAAGCUCUUGAUCGAAGCCCCGGUAAACGGCGGCCGUAACUAUAACGGUCCUAAGGUAGCGAAAUUCCUUGUCGGGUAAGUUCCGACCUGCACGAAUGGCGUAAUGAUGGCCACGCUGUCUCCACCCGAGACUCAGUGAAAUUGAAAUCGCUGUGAAGAUGCAGUGUACCCGCGGCUAGACGGAAAGACCCCGUGAACCUUUACUACAGCUUGGCACUGAACAUUGACCCUACAUGUGUAGGAUAGGUGGGAGGCUUUGAAGCACGUACGCCAGUAUGUGUGGAGCCGUCCUUGAAAUACCACCCUUGUAGUGUUGAUGUUCUAACGUCGACCCCUUAUCGGGGUUGCGGACAGUGCCUGGUGGGUAGUUUGACUGGGGCGGUCUCCUCCCAAAGAGUAACGGAGGAGCACGAAGGUGGGCUAAUCACGGUUGGACAUCGUGAGGUUAGUGCAAUGGCAUAAGCCCGCUUGACUGCGAGAAUGACAAUUCGAGCAGGUGCGAAAGCAGGUCAUAGUGAUCCGGUGGUUCUGAAUGGAAGGGCCAUCGCUCAACGGAUAAAAGGUACUCCGGGGAUAACAGGCUGAUACCGCCCAAGAGUUCAUAUCGACGGCGGUGUUUGGCACCUCGAUGUCGGCUCAUCACAUCCUGGGGCUGAAGUCGGUCCCAAGGGUAUGGCUGUUCGCCAUUUAAAGUGGUACGCGAGCUGGGUUUAGAACGUCGUGAGACAGUUCGGUCCCUAUCUGCCGUGGGCGUUGGAAGAUUGAAGGGGGCUGCUCCUAGUACGAGAGGACCGGAGUGGACGAACCUCUGGUGUUCGGGUUGUGUCGCCAGACGCAUUGCCCGGUAGCUAAGUUCGGAAUCGAUAACCGCUGAAAGCAUCUAAGCGGGAAGCGAGCCCUGAGAUGAGUCUUCCCUGAUACUUUAAGUAUCCUAAAGGGUUGUCGGAGACUACGACGUUGAUAGGUCAGGUGUGUAAGUGCUGUGAGGCAUUGAGCUAACUGAUACUAAUUGCCCGUGAGGCUUAACCAUACAACACCUAAGGGGUUU
rnacentral:rRNA from 1 species